CACUUAAGUCUUCUCGCCGGAUGCUUUUUCCUCCUUGCUUUUGCCGGAAAGGAGAGAGAUACAUGUGAAGGAUAUCUGUCCUCGUUGCUUCCCCUGCCCUCUCAAAAGUUUAACUUCUGUGGGAAUGUGUAUCUUCCUUUUCUGGACCAUUUGACAGUCCCGCCCCAGCCGCCGUGUGAUUUAGCAACCGGUAUCAUAUUCAGAUCAAAUCUUAAAAAAAAAAAGUCACCUACAGAACUACAGAAUUGUUCUCUCCCGCUCAAGAAGGGCAAGUGGACUUUGGCGUUAAGAUGCAGGGGGGUGAACCAGUGUCCACAAUGAAAGUCUCGGAGAGCGAAGGAAAGCUGGAGGGCCAGGCCACAGCGGUGACCCCGAACAAGAACAGCAGCUGUGGAGGUGGAAUCAGUAGCAGCAGCAGCAGCCGCGGUGGCAGUGCAAAAGGCUGGCAGUACAGGUAUUUAUGGAAGGCCUUUUGAGGAACACAGAAAUGUAUCCCUGAACUUCCUCUACAGUCAGAGAGUUAAUGCUUCCUCAGAUUUAAUUCUGUACUCACUUCUGCUUUUGCCUAUGUUGCAAUUUAUUUACAAGCCAGCUUUCUCUGAUAGACUGCGAGGGCAGGAACUGUUUAACUCAGCUUUCUCGAGAGGGUAGCAAAUACUGGUGCUCAAAACUUACUUGUCCAGAGCUUCUCCAGAAUCAGAAAAGAUUCUUGCCCUGAAGGUAUUUGUGACUUGGAAAGGGGAAUGUACAUAAGUAAUUGGAAUGCAAGGACAAAGGUAGAGAUCCUAAUGCCUCUGAUAAACUAAACCUGAGCCUGGAGAUGUUCAGUUUGCGUUGCUCAGGCCACUUCAAUGCUCUCUGUGUUGAUGAGAAAGUCUAUAUUUGUUAAUUUUCACUAAUAUGAAUGAACAACUUAAGGAACAGGAGGAGAGUCCUGGAGAGGCAACAAGUUUUGUUUUUGUUUUUUCAUAUAUGAAGUGUAGGGAGAAAGAACUAUCCAGAACCUUAAGAAUGAAUGAAACAAACCAGCACAUCCCAUCGUAUUGGAACUAAAGGGAUGAAUUCUUAAGUUUUGAUUGACUCCUAUGUGCCUAACUGUAGUCCUUUUUAGCCUUUGUGCUU
rnacentral:lncRNA from 1 species